UACAGAGGGGGCAAGCGUUGUUCGGAAUUACUGGGCGUAAAGGGCGCGUAGGCGGCCUUCUAAGUCGAACGUGAAAUCCCCGGGCUCAACCCGGGAACUGCGUCCGAGACUGAAAGGCUUGAAUCCGGGAGAGGGAUGUGGAAUUCCAGGUGUAGCGGUGAAAUGCGUAGAUAUCUGGAGGAACAUCGGUGGCGAAGGCGGCAUCCUGGACCGGUAUUGACGCUGAGGCGCGGAAAGCCAGGGGAGCCAA
rnacentral:rRNA from 1 species